GUUGAAUGCAAGGUUUGCGUCCUGGUUGGAAAAUUCAAACAUGUUGCAGCAAUGAGUGAUAUUAAGCACUCAGUUUCUCAUACAACUCAUAUAAGGCUGCCGAUAGUUUUCUGGUCCUGUUGCAGCAGUAAUCAAACGAUGGUACAGUAUUCUCAUGCCUGUUCAAGAUGCAAUAACAUUCUGAUGCGAGCUUCAUCAAAUGUAUUAAUUCUACAUUCAGAGCUAGCAAUCCUACCCUUGAUCUACAAAUAGCUAGUGACAUUUCAGUUAUUCAGUGUUUCAAUAUGCAGUUACCAAGUUUAAGCUCAGCAGCACCAAAUUUUUAAACACCCUCACAGCUGCCAGGAAGUACCAGCAGCUAGCUGUAACGAACGCUGAGAUGUUCUCAGGAGCAGAUACAGGAAUAGAAGAAUGGAAGUUCUCAGGAGGUUGUGGUUCAUUCCAGGGAUUACUUCAAGCUGUGUCGUACCAACUGACAUCAAUACUGAAGAUAUGAGUGUUCAGCACGACAGAGAGGCCAGUUCAUCGGCAGCAUGGUUGACUACGACUUGUACUAAUGCUGCCUGUGAAUGUCAAGGGGUCAUGGGUUUAUUAUGCAUGGGACCUUAGAGACCACUAUGUGAACAUUAUUGACCCAUCCGCGGGAAGAGCUGAUGACGAUUUUAUCAAAAUGGUACAUUCAAACACUAUCAAGUUACUAGAACACUCCAUCGUCUACACCAUAAGCAAUAUGUUCAGGGGCUAGGACAUCAACUUUUCUUGCUUUGAGAAGAAGGUCUGAGACUGGGUUUUACACCUUGUACUGCAUGAAGAAUUUGGAUGGUGGCAACAAGGUCCACACAACCAACGCAAUCCAGAAAUUUAAAGGGUACUACUUGCGGUAUGAGGCUUUCGGGAUGAAGGACAAUAGGGGCAAGCUGCCUUGUGUUUAUAACUUUAUGUUCAGACAAUUGAUGACUAAAGCUGCACAAAAUGCAACGUCAAGGAGGUGGCUCAAAGUAGUUCCGAAAGACUUAUCCCACCAGACAGCAAAUCUGUUAUUAGUGAGGAAGGAACCAACCGAUGUCCGCGUGAAAAGAUUUAGUCUUUUGUUAGUGACGAAGAAACCACAUGGUGUUAGCGUGCAAGGAUUAAGUAUACCAGAGAGAAUCGUGCUGCUAAUUGGGUCAUGGAAAUGUUUGUCACCGUCUAAAAGUAGCUCCUUCUGUGGCCAAUUAAGUACCUUAACUUGGCUUUUGAUGACCUGCCACUAGAGGGCCAAUUUGACUUCAGGCGCUGCAGAUAAUUAAGAUACCUCUUGUUUUGUGUUUA